rnacentral:rRNA from 1 species
UUAGCAUAUCAAUAAGCGGAGGAAAAGAAACCAACAGGGAUUGCCCCAGUAACGGCGAGUGAAGCGGCAACAGCUCAAAUUUGAAAUCUGGCUCCUAGAGUCCGAGUUGUAAUUUGUAGAGGAUGCUUUUGAUGCGGUGCCUUCCGAGUUCCCUGGAACGGGACGCCAUAGAGGGUGAGAGCCCCGUCUGGUCGGAUGCCAAAUCUCUGUAAAGCUCCUUCGACGAGUCGAGUAGUUUGGGAAUGCUGCUCUAAAUGGGAGGUAUAUGUCUUCUAAAGCUAAAUAUUGGCCAGAGACCGAUAGCGCACAAGUAGAGUGAUCGAAAGAUGAAAAGCACUUUGAAAAGAGGGUUAAAUAGUACGUGAAAUUGUUGAAAGGGAAGCGCCUAUGACCAGACUUGGGCCCGGUGAAUCAUCCAGCGUUCUCGCUGGUGCACUUUGCCGGGCACAGGCCAGCAUCAGUUUGUCUUGGGGGAAAAAGGCUUUGGGAACGUGGCUCCCUCGGGAGUGUUAUAGACCAUUGCAUAAUACCCUGGGACGGACUGAGGUUCGCGCAUCUGCAAGGAUGCUGGCGUAAUGGUCAUCAGCGACCCGUCUUGAAACACGGACCAAGGAGUCGUCUUCGUAUGCGAGUGUUCGGGUGUAAAACCCCUACGCGUAAUGAAAGUGAACGCAGGUGAGAGCUUCGGCGCAUCAUCGACCGAUCCUGAUGUUCUCGGAUGGAUUUGAGUAAGAGCAUACGGGGCCGGACCCGAAAGAAGGUGAACUAUUCCUGUAUAGGGUGAAGCCAGAGGAAACUCUGGUGGAGGCUCGCAGCGGUUCUGACGUGCGAAUCGAUCGUCAAAUAUGGGAAUGGGGGCGAAAGACUAAUCGAACCUUCUAGUAGCUGGUUUCCGCGAU